UGGAGAAAUUGUAGUUCAAAGUGUUGACCUUGUAACAACUAUAAAUUAUGGUUUGGUCAUGGUCAGGAAAUAUACACAACCUAUCGAUCUUUAUGUAAUGGUGGUUCUGGGGUCAACCGACCUAAAAAGUAGGUCAUGGAUGUUCGUUUCGCGAAAAACACUCAUCCAAGGGUCAAAAUUGGGAUUUUAGGACAAUUUUACUAAAGAAAUGCCGUGGUAAGGUUUAUUUAAUAUUUAUAUUUUGGCAAAUUUAGUCUUUUUUGAUAUUUUUUGCUAUUUUGGAUUAUUUUGAUUUAGGGUUUUGGGUCUUCCAUAUAAGUGAUGUAAUUUAUCAAUCUUAGAUCAUUAUUUUCAGUAAAAUAUUCGAGUUCUCUCUAUUUUUUCUUGUGAGCUCAGGAACCUACCUUGUGGAUUCAAGGUUUUUACUACUUAAGGAAGACAGUGAUCUUUCUCAUUAUUGUUUCACGCUCUUUCCUGUGUCAGUUGGUAUCAAAGCUAGGCUCUUCCUCGAUUCGGUGGCAUCUAACAAUGGUUUGAGUAAUAACCCCACGGAUGGUACUCUGGGAAAUAAUCCUAUGAUAAUGGUGGUGUUUGAAGCUUUCUAGCGGUAGAAUCUGCGAGCCAUACAAGGACUGUAGGCGGUGAUCGACCGUUUGACGGAAGCUUUAGGAUAAACCUGUUUUGUAAUACUGAGUAAUCUGACAUCGACGAUGGAGAUCGUGAUCAUCAUGUUCGUGGUGUGACAUGCAUGAUGAAUUGCAUGCGACCACUCAAUAAUGAUGAAUUGCACGCCACUACUUUGAUCGUGAGGAAGUUGUUGUAUGUGCCGAAGAAAGAAAUAGAUCCACAAUGGUACAUUGUUCGAACAAAAUGCAUUGUGAACCAAAAGACAUGAUUUGAUAAUAGAUGGUGGGACCAGUGAGAAUAUUGUGUUGAAGACUAUGGUGGAAAAGCUGCAUCUGAAGACAGAAGCACCCUCCUUCGUACAUAAUUGGAUGGAUUAAGAAAGUGAAACAAAUUUAACUAAGUGAUGUUGUAUUCCCUUCUCCAUUAGUGAAUAUUAAAAGGACAAAGUAAUGUGUCACGUGGUUGAUGUGGAGUCUUGUCACAUGUUACUUGGUCAACUAUGGUAGCACAAUGUUGAUGCCACUCAUAGAGGCCAUGAUAAUAUGUUUGUUUUUGUGAAAGAUCGUUGGAAAGCAAAAGACAUGAUUUGAUCAUAGACGGCGGGACUAGUGAGAAUAUUGUGUCGAAGACUAUGAUGGAAAAGCUACAUCUGAACAUACAAGCACCCCUCUUCGUACAUAAUUGGAUGGAUUAAGAAAGUGAAACCAAUUUAACUGAGUGAUGUCGUAUUCCCUUCUCUAUAGUGAAUAUUAAAAGGACGAAGUAAUGGUUGUGUGGUUGAUGUGGAGGCUUGUCACAUGUUACUUGGUCAACUAUGAUAGCACAAUGGUGAUGCCACGCAUAGAGGCCUGGAUAAUAUAUUUGUUUUUGUGAAAGAUGGUGGCAAGAUUAUGCUUGCCCCUAUGAGAAUGGAGAACCAAUCCAAGGCUUCUAAAGUGGAGAGGUUGUCUCUCCCAUCUGUACAUGAAUUGGUUAAAGAAUAUGAGAUGGGGAGAUCUAUGCAAUGGUUGUAAAGGGGAGAGAAAUAGAACCCACGAACAUUCCAAAGAAUUUACAGGAAACAUUGGAGCUAGAAGGUGUUUGAAGUGGGUGAUAAUGUGCCGGUUCACCUGCGUAAGGAGAGUUGUCCAAUGGGGACAUAAGUUGAAUAAUAAGAAGAUCGACUCCAUUUCGAUCCUCAGGAAAAUCAAUGAUAACAUGUAUGUUGUUAAUCUUCCUAAGGGCAUGGAGAUCUCAUGGACUUUCAAUGUGGCGGACCUGUAUGAGUAUCAUGAGUAGAGUCCGUUGAAUAACUCGAGGAUGAGUUCUUUUGAAAUAGAAGGGAUUGAUGUAGGAUGUACCACUAAUGCCCUUUUAGCACGACCAUAUCAAAAGAAGCCCAUACAAAAGCGGAAGUAGUCUGUCAAAACUAGACCCAGUUUUACUUAGAGCAUUACAUAACUGUGUCCCAGGCGUGUUCGGUUCGAAGAGAUUCAUUUCGAGUAUGGAGAAAUUGCCGUUUGAAGUGUUGACCUUAACAGUUGUAACUUCCGAUUCAUGCAUCGUAAUGAAACGCAUGACUUAUCGA